rnacentral:rRNA from 1 species
CCUACGGGAGGCAGCAGUAGGGAAUCUUCGGCAAUGGACGAAAGUCUGACCGAGCAACGCCGCGUGAGUGAAGAAGGUUUUCGGAUCGUAAAACUCUGUUGGUAGAGAAGAACGUUGGUGAGAGUGGAAAGCUCAUCAAGUGAUGGUAACUACCCAGAAAGGGACGGCUAACUACGUGCCAGCAGCCGCGGUAAUACGUAGGUCCCGAGCGUUGUCCGGAUUUAUUGGGCGUAAAGCGAGCGCAGGUGGUUUAUUAAGUCUGGUGUAAAAGGCAGUGGCUCAACCAUUGUAUGCAUUGGAAACUGGUAGACUUGAGUGCAGGAGAGGAGAGUGGAAUUCCAUGUGUAGCGGUGAAAUGCGUAGAUAUAUGGAGGAACACCGGUGGCGAAAGCGGCUCUCUGGCCUGUAACUGACGCUGAGGCGCGAAAGCGUGGGGAGCAAACAGGAUUAGAUACCCGAGUAGUC